rnacentral:rRNA from 1 species
AACAUGACUCUCUGCAACAGAUAUCUCGACUCUUGCCAUGAUGAAGAAUGUAGCAAAAUAUGAUAGUGUGAAUUGUAUAAUCUCGUGAAUCAUUGAGUCUUUAAAUGCAAGUUGAACCUGAGGCUUUGACUGAGGGCACGUCUACUUGGGCAUCACAC